AGCGCACUGUUUAUAGGCCUUUUAAUCGAAGCGUGUAUUUUGCAAAGAGAACUGGGAAUUUGGUGUUUUUUUAACUAAAAACUGAGCGGUUGCAAAUCGUUGAGAUGUUUUAGCAGGUUUUUUUUGCAUUGACAAGUCGAACUACAAACCAAUGCACGCAUUUGUAUCUCUCAAAAUAAUGCCUACAUACCAAAUCGAAAGAUCAACUAAACUAUAUCAACUUGAAAUAUUGAUUGACAGAUUAUGUGUUCUAUUAAUGUCGGGUAUACAUGUCGCUUUAUUUAGAUUUAUUUAUUUCUUAUUUUGCACGUG